CUGAUUAUUUUUUUAUAAACUAUAAACUACAUUCACUCCUACAGGAGAAAGCCAAGUGCCCCAAAGAGAGAGUGGCUCUUUCUGCUGCCACACAGAGGUCUCUGGACAGGAAAAAGAAGGUUGGUGAAUCUCCAGCACAGACUAGGAAGAUGCAGCAGAAGCCAAAAAGCCCCACUACCAACAGAGUCUUGAAGCCAAGCCAAGGACAA